UGGAUUUCCUAAACAGAAAAGGAUUCACGAGCUUCAACAUGUUAGCCAUAUGCGAUAUGGACAUGCGAUUCACGUACGUAGGAGCUGGGAUGGCAGGCUCGUGUCACGACAUGGCGGUUUUGCGUGACUGUAUGUCGGGAAGGACGUACCCACAUCCACCUGCAGGUAUGUGACUUCUAAGAGUGGCACAUGUAGCUGGACUUGGAAAAUGUGGUGCACUAAUGUUGAUUUUUUGUGAUUACCU
rnacentral:lncRNA from 1 species